UAGUGGGAGGGGAGUACUCGUCGGUGGGGAGGACGAUGAUCAUAGCGGAGGUGAUAAUGGCAAACUCAGCAAAAACACCGAAAACACCGAAACGGGCGCUAGUGUCCUCACAGGUCGCGAGGUCCUCGAAAAGGUCGGCACAGGGUCUUUAGACGUACGACUAAAAAAAUUCGUCGAGCAACGCAAUGAACUUCUAGACGAACUGAACCGCGUCAAACUGGAGUUAGAGGAAGAGCGCACACGUAACCGAGGCGGCGCCGCUAACCGGGUGGUUAGCUAACGGCCCGUUAAGCGUUGACGGCGGCUUGAGCUCGGGUUUGGACGACAUUGAGGAGGUGCAGCGUGAGGCCAACAAGCUGAUCGGCGAUUACAAGUUCCGGUUACAAAAGGCUGACCAGGAUAAACAGCACACUGCAAGCUACGGUUGCCAGAUUGAAAGCCAGGUAGUGCGAUAUAAGACGGCCGCCGAAAUAGCAGAAAAGUGGAAGAUGACCUAAAGCUGAGAAACGGAAACGACAGAGAGAGGUAAGAUAAAUCUAAAAUAUUUCCAGUAAUUUAUCACAUUUUUAUAAGUUU